UACGUAGGGGGCAAGCGUUAUCCGGAAUUAUUGGGCGUAAAGAGUACGUAGGUGGCAACCUAAGCGCAGGGUUUAAGGCAAUGGCUCGACCAUUGUUCGCCCUGCGAACUGGGAUGCUUGAGUGCAGGAGAGGAAAGCGGAAUUCCUAGUGUAGCGGUGAAAUGCGUAGAUAUUAGGAGGAACACCAGUGGCGAAGGCGGCUUUCUGGGCUGUAACUGACACUGAGGUACGAAAGCGUGGGGAGCAAACAGG
rnacentral:rRNA from 1 species